GGAUGGAUGUCUGAGCGGUUGAAAGAGUCGGUCUUGAAAACCGAAGUCUUGAUAGGAAUACCGGGGGUUCGAAUCCCUCUCCAUCCG
rnacentral:tRNA from 1 species